rnacentral:rRNA from 1 species
UACAGAGGUCCCAAGCGUUGUUCGGAUUCAUUGGGCGUAAAGGGUGCGUAGGCGGCGCGGUAAGUCGGGUGUGAAAUCUCGGAGCUUAACUCCGAAACUGCAUUCGAUACUGCCGUGCUUGAGGACUGGAGAGGAGACUGGAAUUUACGGUGUAGCUGGUGAAAUGCGUAGAUAUCGUAAGGAAGACCAGUGGCGAAGGCGGGUCUCGUGGACAGUUCCUGACGCUGAGGCACGAAGGCCAGGGGAGCAAACGGG